GGAUGAUCAUCAGGAGAAGCAUUUGGUUAAAUCUGAAAAUGGAGAUGGAAAUGAGUCUGAUUCUUCAAAUUACUCUAAUGAUGAUGAUGAUGAUCAUAAUGAUCGGCUCGAGAGCAAACCUAGCUCUUAUAACCCUGCUUGGCCUCAGAGUUAUAGGCAAUCUAUGGACAUAUACAGUAGUGUUCCCUCACCAAGUCUUACCUUCCUUGGAACACCUUCGUUAACACGUUUAGGCAGCUCAUUUCUUGCCUCAUCACUCACAAGGAGACACACUCCUGAAG
rnacentral:misc_RNA from 1 species